UACAGAGGUGGCAAGCGUUGUUCGGAAUUACUGGGCGUAAAGGGCGCGUAGGCGGUUCGAUAAGUCCCGUGUGAAAUCCCUCGGCUCAACUGAGGAACUGCACGGGAAACUGACGGGCUUGAGUUCGGGAGAGGGAAGCGGAAUUCCGGGUGUAGCGGUGAAAUGCGCAGAUAUCAGGAGGAAUACCUAUGGCGAAAGCAGGUAUCUGGGCCAUCACUGACGCUGAGCUGCGAAAGCUAGGGGAGCAAACAGG
rnacentral:rRNA from 1 species